CCCAAAUAUGAUUUCCUUAUACAGAUACGGUUUGCGUCAAAACAACAUCGUCGUUAUGUCGAUCCGAGUUCAGACCACCGCUUCUUACCGGAGAGAUGUGUAACGGUCUAUGCUUUCAAUCUGCGUCAUUUACGUCCUUAUUCACUCCAUUAAAUCACCAUCUUCACUAACUCGGAUUCAAUAACACUUUAGCCUUCCUCAAAGGUUACGAAUCGUAAAUCUAUAAAUAAGGAUGUAAGUUUCUGUAAAAUUCAUCACUUUCAUCUGUUCUUAUUCCCUCCUCUCUCUACAUCUCUGUUCGAAAUCCCUCUCUCUCUCAAAAUUUUCCCAUCAUCAAAAUUGUAAAGACAGGAGGAGAGAUAAAUAAUCUUCUUCAAGCCACACAGAGACCCAAUUAUUAGUUUCUUCAAUCAAUAGAAUUCCCUCUGCCGGAGAAAUCGAAACGACUCCACAACUUCACCUUACCUUAUCUCCAGUGGGGUCAAAAGUGAUUGAUGCCGUCGCAGAAGCUCCCCACGGAAUCUAAACCCACGCCGAUCACUAGCGUCAAGAGAGAUAGUAACGAAGGAGGUGGUGAUGGAGAUUCGCAGAAACUGAACUUCUCUGGUUCUUUAUUGAGGGAAGAAAUCUAAGAAGAUUUCACAGCCUUCGUUGCUGAAAAAACUUUCUCGAGGACCAAAGAAGACCAAGAACUGUUCAGAAGCAAAUGAAUAGGAAGUAACAAUAGGCUCUUAUGACGUCCCUGAGGCUGCGGAAACAUGAUCAACGGUGUGAUUCCUUGGUUUCUUCAAUUUUUACCAACUUUGUGCUCUACUUCUGAAUCUUUUCAGCUGUAAAAGGAAGAACAAAUAUAGCAAUGAGCCCAUUUUAUUACCGAAGUUUAAUUGUCAUCUUAGCUGUUUUUUUUUUUGUUGUUAUGCAACUCUCUGCAGCUUUCUUAUAUCUUUGUUCCUUGAUUAAUAUUCUGUUUGGCUACUAUGUGCUAGGAUUAUGCUAAAUUUUAUUCAGGUAACAAAGAAACGACGUCUACGAGUUUAACUCUGGUUCAUGAAGGGAUCCUGAUGGUGACACGAUGACGGCGCUCAAAGCUGGUCCGUGGAUUACUUUACCAAGGCGUGCAACUUACAUGUUUGCUACAGAUGAAACAUGAGAAAAGCAACUUGGGGAUCCUUCUCACGUUUAAUUUUCAACAAAGAAAUAUCAACCUUUACUGUUAAGAGAAGCUUUUGGUGUUAUAACAUCAGUGUCGCACUUCCAAAACUGAGAUCAAUGCAGUGUGGUGGAGCAAUGUCUUAGCAUUGGAUUUGAGCUAUGAUCUAUAUAUUUUGCAUCUGCUUGGACCGGGAAAAGGGAGAAGAAAAGUUGUAGUCUGUUGUGAGAGAUGGAAAGGAGUUAGAUCUCUCUGAUCUAAAUUAUGUCUUUCAUGCAGCAAGAUGUUCAAGUAUGACUGGAGCUAUGUACCAAAUCUAAAGUUCUCCUUUGUCUCUGUUCUUGAGUUUCCUUUUUAUCACCCAAGUUGUCCAGCUGCCAAUACUUAUAAUUCACAUUCAACAUGAUGAGUUUAUCUAAUGUUGUUUGGCUAUUUUGAAUC